rnacentral:lncRNA from 1 species
CUGGCUCAAAGUUGAUGGUGUUGGAAUGAUGGGAGGAUGCUUCUUUGUGUAGCGCCAUGGUGUGGACCUCUCAUUCCUUCUCGAAAGUGGGUAACGCUCUUCCUCUAAUGCCAAUCUAUUAUUAUAGAUUUCUGACUCUGAUCGGAGUAGUUGGAGUUGACUGUGAGUCAUCGAUAUGGUGAGACCUAUAAAAUAAGUCUUGAUCGG